rnacentral:rRNA from 1 species
UACAGAGGGUGCAAGCGUUAAUCGGAAUUACUGGGCGUAAAGAGCACGUAGGUGGUUGUUCAAGUUGGAUGUGAAAGCCCCGGGCUUAACCUGGGAAGGUCAUCCAAGACUGGACGACUAGAGUAUAGUAGAGGGAAGUGGAAUUUCCGGUGUAGCGGUGAAAUGCGUAGAUAUCGGAAGGAACACCAGUGGCGAAGGCGACUUCCUGGACUAAUACUGACACUGAGGUGCGAAAGCGUGGGGAGCAAACAGG